CCUACGGGAGGCAGCAGUGGGGAAUAUUGCACAAUGGGGGAAACCCUGAUGCAGCGAUGCCGCGUGGAGGAAGAAGGUUUUCGGAUUGUAAACUCCUUUUAUCAGGGACGAUAAUGACGGUACCUGAAGAAAAAGCUCCGGCUAACUACGUGCCAGCAGCCGCGGUAAUACGUAGGGAGCGAGCGUUGUCCGGAUUUACUGGGUGUAAAGGGAGCGUAGGUGGCAUGGUAAGCCAGAAGUGAAAACCCAGGGCUCAACUCUGUGGAUUGCUUUUGGAACUAUCAAGCUAGAGUGCUGGAGGGGUA
rnacentral:rRNA from 1 species